rnacentral:rRNA from 1 species
CUGGCUCAGGACGAACGCUGGCGGCGUGCCUAAUACAUGCAAGUCGAGCGCGGGAAGCUUGUCUGAUCUCUUCGGAGUGAAGCGAGUGGAACGAGCGGCGGACGGGUGAGUAACACGUGGGCAACCUACCUAUAAGACUGGGAUAACUCCGGGAAACCGGGGCUAAUACCGGAUAACACUUUUCUUCNCAUGAAGGGAAGUUGAAAGAUGGCUUCUUGCUAUCACUUACAGAUGGGCCCGCGGCGCAUUAGCUAGUUGGUGAGGUAAGAGCUCACCAAGGCGACGAUGCGUAGCCGACCUGAGAGGGUGAUCGGCCACACUGGGACUGAGACACGGCCCAGACUCCUACGGGAGGCAGCAGUAGGGAAGACUUCCGCAAUGGACGAAAGNCUGACGGAGCAACGCCGCGUGAACGAAGAAGGUUUUCGGANNGUAAAGUUCUGUUGUUAGGGAAGAA